rnacentral:rRNA from 1 species
AGCGUACACGGUGGAUGCCCUGGCAGUCAGAGGCGAUGAAGGACGUGCUAAUCUGCGAUAAGCGUCGGUAAGGUGAUAUGAACCGUUAUAACCGGCGAUUUCCGAAUGGGGAAACCCAGUGUGWUUCGWCACACUAUCAUUAACUGAAUCCAUAGGUUAAUGAGGCGAACCGGGGGAACUGAAACAUCUAAGUACCCCGAGGAAAAGAAAUCAACCGAGAUUCCCCCAGUAGCGGCGAGCGAACGGGGAGCAGCCCAGAGCCUGAAUCAGUGUGUGUGUUAGUGGAAGCGUCUGGAAAGGCGCGCGAUACAGGGUGACAGCCCCGUACACAAAAAUGCACAUGCUGUGAGCUCGAUGAGUAGGGCGGGACACGUGGUAUCCUGUCUGAAUAUGGGGGGACCAUCCUCCAAGGCUAAAUACUCCUGACUGACCGAUAGUGAACCAGUACCGUGAGGGAAAGGCGAAAAGAACCCCGGCGAGGGGAGUGAAAAAGAACCUGAAACCGUGUACGUACAAGCAGUGGRAGCACGCUUAGGCGUGUGACUGCGUACCUUUUGUAUAAUGGGUCAGCGACUUAUAUUCUGUAGCAAGGUUAACCGAAUAGGGGAGCCGAAGGGAAACCGAGUCUUAACUGGGCGUUAAGUUGCAGGGUAUAGACCCGAAACCCGGUGAUCUAGCCAUGGGCAGGUUGAAGGUUGGGUAACACUAACUGGAGGACCGAACCGACUAAUGUUGAAAAAUUAGCGGAUGACUUGUGGCUGGGGGUGAAAGGCCAAUCAAACCGGGAGAUAGCUGGUUCUCCCCGAAAGCUAUUUAGGUAGCGCCUCGUGAAUUCAUCUCCGGGGGUAGAGCACUGUUUCGGCAAGGGGGUCAUCCCGACUUACCAACCCGAUGCAAACUGCGAAUACCGGAGAAUGUUAUCACGGGAGACACACGGCGGGUGCUAACGUCCGUCGUGAAGAGGGAAACAACCCAGACCGCCAGCUAAGGUCCCAAAGUCAUGGUUAAGUGGGAAACGAUGUGGGAAGGCCCAGACAGCCAGGAUGUUGGCUUAGAAGCAGCCAUCAUUUAAAGAAAGCGUAAUAGCUCACUGGUCGAGUCGGCCUGCGCGGAAGAUGUAACGGGGCUAAACCAUGCACCGAAGCUGCGGCAGCGACRCUGAUGYGUUGUUGGGUAGGGGAGCGUUCUGUAAGCCUGYGAAGGUGURCUGUGAGGYAUGCUGGAGGUAUCAGAAGUGCGAAUGCUGACAUAAGUAACGAUAAAGCGGGUGAAAAGCCCGCUCGCCGGAAGACCAAGGGUUCCUGUCCAACGUUAAUCGGGGCAGGGUGAGUCGACCCCUAAGGCGAGGCCGAAAGGCGUAGUCGAUGGGAAACAGGUUAAUAUUCCUGUACUUGGUGUUACUGCGAAGGGGGGACGGAGAAGGCUAUGUUGGCCGGGCGACGGUUGUCCCGGUUUAAGCGUGUAGGCUGGUUUUCCAGGCAAAUCCGGAAAAUCAAGGCUGAGGCGUGAUGACGAGGCACUACGGUGCUGAAGCAACAAAUGCCCUGCUUCCAGGAAAAGCCUCUAAGCAUCAGGUAACAUCAAAUCGUACCCCAAACCGACACAGGUGGUCAGGUAGAGAAUACCAAGGCGCUUGAGAGAACUCGGGUGAAGGAACUAGGCAAAAUGGUGCCGUAACUUCGGGAGAAGGCACGCUGAUAUGUAGGUGAAGCGACUUGCUCGUGGAGCUGAAAUCAGUCGAAGAUACCAGCUGGCUGCAACUGUUUAUUAAAAACACAGCACUGUGCAAACACGAAAGUGGACGUAUACGGUGUGACGCCUGCCCGGUGCCGGAAGGUUAAUUGAUGGGGUCAGCGCAAGCGAAGCUCUUGAUCGAAGCCCCGGUAAACGGCGGCCGUAACUAUAACGGUCCUAAGGUAGCGAAAUUCCUUGUCGGGUAAGUUCCGACCUGCACGAAUGGCGUAAUGAUGGCCAGGCUGUCUCCACCCGAGACUCAGUGAAAUUGAACUCGCUGUGAAGAUGCAGUGUACCCGCGGCAAGACGGAAAGACCCCGUGAACCUUUACUAUAGCUUGACACUGAACAUUGAGCCUUGAUGUGUAGGAUAGGUGGGAGGCUUUGAAGUGUGGACGCCAGUCUGCAUGGAGCCGACCUUGAAAUACCACCCUUUAAUGUUUGAUGUUCUAACGUUGACCCGUGAUCCGGGUUGCGGACAGUGUCUGGUGGGUAGUUUGACUGGGGCGGUCUCCUCCUAAAGAGUAACGGAGGAGCACGAAGGUUGGCUAAUCCUGGUCGGACAUCAGGAGGUUAGUGCAAUGGCAUAAGCCAGCUUGACUGCGAGCGUGACGGCGCGAGCAGGUGCGAAAGCAGGUCAUAGUGAUCCGGUGGUUCUGAAUGGAAGGGCCAUCGCUCAACGGAUAAAAGGUACUCCGGGGAUAACAGGCUGAUACCGCCCAAGAGUUCAUAUCGACGGCGGUGUUUGGCACCUCGAUGUCGGCUCAUCACAUCCUGGGGCUGAAGUAGGUCCCAAGGGUAUGGCUGUUCGCCAUUUAAAGUGGUACGCGAGCUGGGUUUAGAACGUCGUGAGACAGUUCGGUCCCUAUCUGCCGUGGGCGCUGGAGAACUGAGGGGGGCUGCUCCUAGUACGAGAGGACCGGAGUGGACGCAUCACUGGUGUUCGGGUUGUCAUGCCAAUGGCACUGCCCGGUAGCUAAAUGCGGAAGAGAUAAGUGCUGAAAGCAUCUAAGCACGAAACUUGCCCCGAGAUGAGUUCUCCCUGACUCCUUGA